CAGGUCUUGACAUCCGAUGCAUAGCACAGAGAUGUGUGAAAUCCUUCGGGACAUCGAGACAGGUGGUGCAUGGUUGUCGUCAGCUCGUGUCGUGAGAUGUUGGGUUAAGUCCCGCAACGAGCGCAACCCUUAUUGCCAGUUACUACGUUAAGAGGACUCUGGCGAGACUGCCGUUGACAAAACGGAGGAAGGUGGGGAGGACGUCAAAUCAUCAUGCCCCUUAUGACCUGGGCUACACACGUACUACAAUGGCGUUAAACAAAGAGAAGCAAGACCGCGAGGUGGAGCAAAACUCAAAAACAACGUCUCAGUUCAGAUUGCAGGCUGCAACUCGCCUGCAUGAAGUCGGAAUUGCUAGUAAUCGCGGAUCAGCAU
rnacentral:rRNA from 1 species